rnacentral:lncRNA from 13 species
UCCCCAGUACGCGUGCUUAGCCCGGUGCGCUACAUCCCAGCUCCCCACAUCUGCCGGGCUAGGGUGAAGAUCCAGCCAGGGCGGUUGGUGCCAGCCCUGCUCUCAAGAUCUCCAGUACGCCUUCACGGUCCGGUCUAUCCGUCACCACCUCGACGCACCAGCCCUCCGGUGGCAGCCCCCCGUACCAGGCUGUCUCUCCGGCCCAUCCUUACAGGGGCUUCCUCCUGUCCAGCGCUGCCGGAGUCUCCCGCCUGUCCGGCGCCUCUGCCGGAGCCUCCCGCCUGUCCGGCGCCUCUGCCGGAGCCUCCCGCCUCCCCUCUGUCCCGAGCAGCUGUCCCUCUGUCCCGAGCAGCUGUCCCUCUGUCCCGAGCAGCUGCCGCCCCUCUGUCCCGAGCAGCUGCCGCCCCUCUGUCCCGAGCUGCUAUCGCCCCUCUGUCCCGAGCAGCUGCCCCUCUGUCCCGAGCAGUUGUCCCUCUGUCCCGAGCAGCUGCUUCACCUCUGUCCCGAGCUGCCCAUCUGUCCCGAGCAGCCCCUCUGUCCAGUGGGGUCAUUGAGAGGGGUGGCCAUGGUGAGUAAACCAGGGAGGCGGACAAUAAGGCGGACUAAGACAAUGGUGAAGUGGGGUCCGCGUCCCGCGCCAGAGCCGCCACCGCGGACAGACGCCCACCCAGACCCUCCCCUAUAGGUCAAGGUUUUGCGGCCGGAGUCCGCACCUUUGGGGGGGGGGUACUGUCACGUUCUGACCGCUAUUUCUGUUUUGUAUUUAUUUAGUAUGGUCAGGGCGUGAGUUGGGUGGGCAGUCUAUGUUUGUUUUUCUAUGUUUUGGGGCAUUUCUAUGUUUUCGGCCUAGUAUGGUUCUCAAUCAGAGGCAGGUGUCAUUAGUUGUCUCUGAUUGAGAAUCAUACUUAGGUAGCCUGGGUUUCACUGUGUGUUUGUGGGUGAUUGUUCCUGUCACUGUGUUUGUUGUCACAGGAUAGGACUGUUUUGCGUUCUCACAUUUCUUGUUUUCGUUAGUUUGUUCAUGUGUAGUGAUUUAUUAAAAUAUGAAUAACCACCACGCUGCGCUUUGGUCCGCUUCUUCUCCUCCUACAGACGAACGCCGUUACAAAACUGUUAUGUUUACAUGAAUUCAGAUGUUUUACACAACAUCCUGAAAUAU